rnacentral:rRNA from 1 species
UACGUAGGGAGCAAGCGUUGUCCGGAAUCAUUGGGCGUAAAGCGCGCGUAGGCGGCCUCAUAAGUCCGUUGUGAAAGUCAAAGGCUCAACCUUUGAAAGCCGAUGGAUACUGUGAGGCUAGAGUCCGGAAGAGGCGAGUGGAAUUCCUGGUGUAGCGGUGGAAUGCGCAGAUAUCAGGAGGAACACCAAUUGCGAAGGCAGCUCGCUGGGACGUGACUGACGCUGAGACGCGAAAGCGUGGGGAGCAAACAGG